UACGUAGGGUGCAAGCGUUAAUCGGAAUUACUGGGCGUAAAGCGUGCGCAGGCGGUUAUGUAAGUCAGGGGUGAAAUCCCCGGGCUUAACCUGGGAACUGCAUUUGUGACUGCAUAGCUAGAGUACGGUAGAGGGGGAUGGAAUUCCGCGUGUAGCAGUGAAAUGCGUAGAUAUGCGGAGGAACACCGAUGGCGAAGGCAAUCCCCUGGACCUGUACUGACGCUCAUGCACGAAAGCGUGGGGAGCAAACAGG
rnacentral:rRNA from 1 species